GGUUAAAAAGCUCGUAGUUGGAUCUCGGCGGUCUGAGGGCGGUUCGCUUGAUUGAGUGCUACUGCUCUAUAGGCCGUGGUUUUGCCAGAGGUCUCGGGGUGCUCUUAACCGAGUGUCCUGCGAUGCUGGCAGGUUUACUUUGAAAAAAUUAGAGUGCUCAAAGCAGGCUUUUACGCCUGAAUAUUCGUGCAUGGAAUAAUAGAAUAGGAAGUCGUUUCUAUUUUGUUGGUUUUCGGAAAUCGACUUAAUGAUUAAUAGGGACAGUCGGGGGCAUUUGUAUUCAAACGACAGAGGUGAAAUUCUUGGACCGUUUGAAGACAAACUACUGCGAAAGCAUUUGCCAAGAAUGUUUUCAUUAAUCAAGAACGAAAGUUAGAGGUUCGAAGGCGAUUAGAUACCGCCCUAGUUCUAACCAUAAACGAUGCCAGCUAGCGAUCUGCCGACGUUUUCUUUGUAGACUCGGCAGGAAGCUUCCGGGAAACCAAAGCAUUUGGGUUCCAGGGGAAGUAUGGUUGCAAAGCUGAAACUUAAAGGAAUUGACGGAAGGGCACCACCAGGAGUGGAGCCUGUGGCUUAAUUUGACUCAACACGGGAAAUCUCACCAGGCCCGGACACUGGAAGGAUUGACAGAUUGAUAGCUCUUUCUUGAUUCGGUGGGUGGUGGUGCAUG
rnacentral:rRNA from 1 species